GACGAACGCUGGCGGCGUGCCUAAUACAUGCAAGUAGAACGCUGAAGAGAGGAGCUUGCUCUUCUUGGAUGAGUUGCGAACGGGUGAGUAACGCGUAGGUAACCUGCCUGGUAGCGGGGGAUAACUAUUGGAAACGAUAGCUAAUACCGCAUGAUAUUAAUUGUCGCAUGAUAAUUAAUUGAAAGAUGCAAUUGCAUCACUACCAGAUGGACCUGCGUUGUAUUAGCUAGUUGGUGAGGUAACGGCUCACCAAGGCGACGAUACAUAGCCGACCUGAGAGGGUGAUCGGCCACACUGGGACUGAGACACGGCCCAGACUCCUACGGGAGGCAGCAGUAGGGAAUCUUCGGCAAUGGGGGGAACCCUGACCGAGCAACGCCGCGUGAGUGAAGAAGGUUUUCGGAUCGUAAAGCUCUGUUGUAAGAGAAGAACGGGUGUGAGAGUGGAAAGUUCACACUGUGACGGUAUCUACCAGAAA
rnacentral:rRNA from 1 species